rnacentral:rRNA from 1 species
UGGCAUAAGCCAGCUUGACUGCGAGCGUGACGGCGCGAGCAGGUGCGAAAGCAGGUCAUAGUGAUCCGGUGGUUCUGAAUGGAAGGGCCAUCGCUCAACGGAUAAAAGGUACUCCGGGGAUAACAGGCUGAUACCGCCCAAGAGUUCAUAUCGACGGCGGUGUUUGGCACCUCGAUGUCGGCUCAUCACAUCCUGGGGCUGAAGUAGGUCCCAAGGGUAUGGCUGUUCGCCAUUUAAAGUGGUACGCGAGCUGGGUUUAGAACGUCGUGAGACAGUUCGGUCCCUAUCUGCCGUGGGCGCUGGAGAACUGAGGGGGGCUGCUCCUAGUACGAGAGGACCGGAGUGGACGCAUCACUGGUGUUCGGGUUGUCAUGCCAAUGGCACUGCCCGGUAGCUAAAUGCGGAAGAGAUAAGUGCUGAAAGCAUCUAAGCACGAAACUUGCCCCGAGAUGAGUUCUCCCUGACCCUUUAAGGGUCCUGAAGGAACGUUGAAGACGACGACGUUGAUAGGCCGGGUGUGUAAGCGCAGCGAUGCGUUGAGCUAACCGGUACUAAUGAACCGUGAGGCUUAACCUUACAACGCCGAAGGUGUUU